rnacentral:lncRNA from 1 species
GUAGUAUAGUCGGUCGUCGAUCGCGUUCGUAUGCAUAUUCGAAUUACUUCUAUGCGUGCAGUGUACAACGCUCAAAACUAGUUCGGGAACGAGGAAGUGCCAGGAUACGACAACGAGGAAGUAUACAAUUCGAGUCAAUCGAUUUGGACGGUAAUUGAAACGGAAUGCACGCAGUUCUUGUUGCAAUACAACAUGCCGGCAAGACGCCAAAGACGAUAAGAAUAUAUAAUAAUACGUAUUUAUUAAUACGUCAUUUACAGACGCACCUUAGACAGACAGCAUUACCAUGGCGAGGUGACUUUUCGAGCGUAAACGUUGUGACUUACGGGAAUCGGAAAAUAACGAACACCGAGGAAACGAGUUUCCACAUUGUUGUAUCGCAAUAUUAUACAAUAAUGAUACUGGAUUACAAAAUGUCCACGCCAAACGUCCGACUUUCGAGUGCGCCAUAAAAUAUUAUUAUACAAUACAAUGCAGUGCAAACAGAGUAUUAUAGUGUUUUCACCUGCUGACAUUUUAUUAAUCAGGAUACACGUACAUGUGCGUACGGUGUGUGUAUAGAUACCGAUGCUGACUGAUGCCGUAGCUUCGUCCAGUUUUGCCAGAGGAGUGAUCCGGCUAUAGCUGAAGUUUACAACGCAAGCAACUAUAGUAAUUCCUAACGGCAGAUUGGGAUGAACGCAAGCUCUGCAAACGGAUCGUGCGAAAUCCAAAAACGAACUACAAGUCGUAAUGUCUCAUUGCUAAUAAUAGCGUAUCUUCCGCGACUGGUGCUUUCGAAGUAUUAUUCUUCAAAAAUCAUGUUUAUUUAUUUGGAAAAAACACGAUUACGAUGCCGGGUCUUUUUGGUUAUCUUACUCUCGAUGUAAUAAUAAUUUGAAAACAUAUUAAAAUGAACAUUUUUUUUAGCGACAGAGGCUGUUUUGUAUACUGUGUCGGCACGACAACAA